rnacentral:tmRNA from 1 species
GGGGGCGAAAAUGGCUUCGACGGGGGUUUGGAGCACUGAAUAGCGAGUCGCUUGAGACAGCGUUAAAGCUCACAAAAAAACAAACGACAAAAACGAAAAUUUAGCAUUCGCAGCCUAACGGCUCGGAUCAUCCACACCGGAAGGCCAGCGAGCCGGUCUGGGUGUCAAAUUCAGCUGGACACAAAGCUAAGUUAGUUGACAUAACUUAGGGGGUAACCAUGUCAAUAGCUGCCGCAACUUUGACUGUCGAGGUGUUGCAGUGAAAUAAAAAGACAGCUCUGCACUCGGAGAAGUUCACUGUAAAGAGCUUUCGGACGCGGGUUCGACUCCCGCCGCCUCCACCA